CCUACGGGAGGCAGCAGUGCGGAAUAUUGGUCAAUGGACGAGAGUCUGCACCAGCCAAGUAGCGUGAAGGAUGACUGCCCUAUGGGUUGUAAACUUCUUUUAUCUGUGAAUAAAAUGUUCCACGUGUGGGAUUUUGUCUGUACCAUAUGAAUAAGGAUCGGCUAACUCCGUUCCAGCAGCCGCGGUAAUACGGAGGCUCCGAGCGUUAUCCGGAUUUAUUGGGUUUAAAGGGAGCGUAGGUGGAUAGUUAAGUCAGUUGUGAAAGUUUGCGGCUCAACCGGAAAAUUGCAGUUGAAACUGGCAGUCUGGAGUACAGUAGAGGUGGGCGGAAUUCGUGGUGUAGCGGUGAAAUGCUUAGAUAUCACGAAGAACUCCGAUUGCGAAGGCAGUUCACUGGACUGCAACUGACACUGAGGCUCGAAAGUGUGGGUAGCAAACAGGAUUAGAUACCCUAGUAGUC
rnacentral:rRNA from 1 species